rnacentral:rRNA from 1 species
UACGUAGGUGGCAAGCGUUGUCCGGAUUUACUGGGCGUAAAGGGCUUGUAGGCGGUUUGUUAAGUCUGGUGUGAAAUCUCCCGGCUCAACCGGGAGGGGUCAUCGGAUACUGGCAGACUAGAGACGGGUAGAGGAAAGCAGAAUUCCCGGUGUAGCGGUGAAAUGCGUAGAUAUCGGGAGGAAUACCAGUGGCGAAGGCGGCUUUCUGGGCCUGCUCUGACGCUGAGGAGCGAAAGCGUGGGGAGCAAACGGG